ACAUGCAGAGCCCUCUCUCCUCUUGCCCUAUGAAGGUCCCAAUAUCUCACACUCAAACUGCUCUUUUCCUUACAAGGAGAGCGAAGAAAUUAAUUCUUUCUAUUUCUGAGAAUUGAACUAGGUGGGGGUAGAAAACACCAGACUCCAUUUUCCUUCAACCCCUCCACCACACAGCAACCCGCACUUUAAAAGAGUUUGACUGGUGAGAUCUACGGUGGCUAUAUUAUUAAAACAAGACACUUCAUGUCCCAGCUCUUGCCAAGGUUUCCACCAAUGACAGAAUACAACCAACAUGUGAUACACCACAGCACGCCACAGAGAUCAGAAAGAAGUCAGGUCAUUAUUUCACAAAAAGAUUUGUUUAAACAAGCCAUGAAAAACAGUGUGUUGUCAAAUAUAAGUUUAAUAAUCUCUUUAUCACAUUCCCCAGUUUUUCAUUACUGUCUUCAUUUCAUCCUGUUUACAUUUGUCAUACACAACUCUAUACUACACAGACACAGAGCUAUAUUUGCUAUCCAUCUUCCAUCAUUUAACUGUCUUUGGAUCAAUAUAGAAUUAGCAGGGAUCAGCAUGGGAACAGAAUACUAG
rnacentral:lncRNA from 1 species